rnacentral:rRNA from 1 species
AGACCCGAAACCCGGUGAUCUAGCCAUGGGCAGGUUGAAGGUUGGGUAACACUAACUGGAGGACCGAACCGACUAAUGUUGAAAAAUUAGCGGAUGACUUGUGGCUGGGGGUGAAAGGCCAAUCAAACCGGGAGAUAGCUGGUUCUCCCCGAAAGCUAUUUAGGUAGCGCCUCGUGAAUUCAUCUCCGGGGGUAGAGCACUGUUUCGGCAAGGGGGUCAUCCCGACUUACCAACCCGAUGCAAACUGCGAAUACCGGAGAAUGUUAUCACGGGAGACACACGGCGGGUGCUAACGUCCGUCGUGAAGAGGGAAACAACCCAGACCGCCAGCUAAGGUCCCAAAGUCAUGGUUAAGUGGGAAACGAUGUGGGAAGGCCCAGACAGCCAGGAUGUUGGCUUAGAAGCAGCCAUCAUUUAAAGAAAGCGUAAUAGCUCACUGGUCGAGUCGGCCUGCGCGGAAGAUGUAACGGGGCUAAACCAUGCACCGAAGCUGCGGCAGCGACACUGUGUGUUGUUGGGUAGGGGAGCGUUCUGUAAGCCUGUGAAGGUGUGCUGUGAGGCAUGCUGGAGGUAUCAGAAGUGCGAAUGCUGACAUAAGUAACGAUAAAGCGGGUGAAAAGCCCGCUCGCCGGAAGACCAAGGGUUCCUGUCCAACGUUAAUCGGGGCAGGGUGAGUCGACCCCUAAGGCGAGGCCGAAAGGCGUAGUCGAUGGGAAACAGGUUAAUAUUCCUGUACUUGGUGUUACUGCGAAGGGGGGACGGAGAAGGCUAUGUUGGCCGGGCGACGGUUGUCCCGGUUUAAGCGUGUAGGCUGGUUUUCCAGGCAAAUCCGGAAAAUCAAGGCUGAGGCGUGAUGACGAGGCACUACGGUGCUGAAGCAACAAAUGCCCUGCUUCCAGGAAAAGCCUCUAAGCAUCAGGUAACAUCAAAUCGUACCCCAAACCGACACAGGUGGUCAGGUAGAGAAUACCAAGGCGCUUGAGAGAACUCGGGUGAAGGAACUAGGCAAAAUGGUGCCGUAACUUCGGGAGAAGGCACGCUGAUAUGUAGGUGAAGUCCCUCGCGGAUGGAGCUGAAAUCAGUCGAAGAUACCAGCUGGCUGCAACUGUUUAUUAAAAACACAGCACUGUGCAAACACGAAAGUGGACGUAUACGGUGUGACGCCUGCCCGGUGCCGGAAGGUUAAUUGAUGGGGUCAGCGCAAGCGAAGCUCUUGAUCGAAGCCCCGGUAAACGGCGGCCGUAACUAUAACGGUCCUAAGGUAGCGAAAUUCCUUGUCGGGUAAGUUCCGACCUGCACGAAUGGCGUAAUGAUGGCCAGGCUGUCUCCACCCGAGACUCAGUGAAAUUGAACUCGCUGUGAAGAUGCAGUGUACCCGCGGCAAGACGGAAAGACCCCGUGAACCUUUACUAUAGCUUGACACUGAACAUUGAGCCUUGAUGUGUAGGAUAGGUGGGAGGCUUUGAAGUGUGGACGCCAGUCUGCAUGGAGCCGACCUUGAAAUACCACCCUUUAAUGUUUGAUGUUCUAACGUGGACCCGUGAUCCGGGUUGCGGACAGUGUCUGGUG